CACUCUAUACGGAGUUACAAAAGAAAGUUAUAAAUGAAGCGGUCUGGAAAGGCCCGCCAAAGACGGUAACAGCCCGGUAGUUGAAAUGGCUUUCCCUCCAGAGUGGAUCCUGAGUACGGCGGAACACGUGAAAUUCCGUCGGAAUCCGGGAGGACCAUCUCCCAAGGCUAAAUACUCCCUAGUGACCGAUAGUGAACCAGUACCGUGAGGGAAAGGUGAAAAGCACCCCGGAAGGGGAGUGAAACAGUUCCUGAAACCGUGUGCCUACAAGUAGUUAGAGCCCGUUAAUGGGUGAUAGCGUGCCUUUUGUAGAAUGAACCGGCGAGUUACGAUUUGUUGCAAGGUUAAGCGGAAAAAGCGGAGCCGUAGCGAAAGCGAGUCUGAAUAGGGCGCAUAAGUAACAGGUCGUAGACCCGAAACCAGGUGAUCUACCCAUGUCCAGGAUGAAGGUAAGGUAAUACUUACUGGAGGUCCGAACCCACGCACGUUGAAAAGUGCGGGGAUGAGGUGUGGGUAGCGGAGAAAUUCCAAUCGAACUUGGAGAUAGCUGGUUCUCUCCGAAAUAGCUUUAGGGCUAGCCUCGAGGUAAAGAGUCAUGGAGGUAGAGCACUGUUUGGACUAGGGGCCCUUCUCGGGUUACCGAAUUCAGAUAAACUCCGAAUGCCAUGUACUUAUACUCGGGAGUCAGACUGCGAGUGAUAAGAUCCGUAGUCGAAAGGGAAACAGCCCAGACCACCAGUUAAGGUCCCCAAAUAUAUGUUAAGUGGAAAAGGAUGUGGGGUUGCUUAGACAACCAGGAUGUUGGCUUAGAAGCAGCCACCAUUGAAAGAGUGCGUAAUAGCUCACUGGUCGAGUGACCCCGCGCCGAAAAUGUACCGGGGCUAAACAUAUUACCGAAACUGUGGAUGAACCUCUUUAGAGGUUCGUGGUAGGAGAGCGUUCUAAGGGCGGUGAAGUCAGACCGGAAGGACUGGUGGAGCGCUUAGAAGUGAGAAUGCCGGUAUGAGUAGCGAAAGAAGGGUGAGAAUCCCUUCCACCGAAUAUCUAAGGUUUCCUGAGGAAGGCUCGUCCGCUC
rnacentral:rRNA from 1 species